CGCUCCCAGGUGCGCAGAGGGAAGAAGCAUCAGGUGUGCUUCCAUAGCCUCCACACAGCCGACCAGCUACGGUUAGACGGGAUGCCUGCCCAGGACACGCAAAACCGAAGGAUGCUGAAUAUUUGAAAGUGGUUUGGCCGCUGGCAGUCAGCUGUGGGAGCCGCAGGAAUCAGAAUGCAGGAAUUUGGGUCUUUGUUUCAGGAACAUUCCUUGGAAAGUGUCGAGGCCAGCUGCAAGACGGUCCGAAAUCCCUCAUCUUAUCUACGGUCGGCGCAGGGAGCUACCCGGGGGACCCGGCGGGUACCGUCCCUCCCGGCUCCGGGAGACCCUCCCGGCCGGCUUGCCGGGGAGCCGGCGCUCGCUGGGGAUCACAUCCCUUCCCAACCCAGGAGUUGCUCUGCACCGUCCCGACCCCAGGAGAAGCUCCUAUCUCCUCUCCGCAUGCCAAUCAUGCUUAAACAUACUCUGUGUUUGUUGGAGGACAAGUUGAUUCUAGCUGUAUGUCUGAGCUACAGCCCUCAUCCUCGUGUGUUUCCAAUAGAGGAGCAAAAGCAUGGAGAGAGGUGAAAAUGGGGAGCUGAGUUGAUCCAUUACCUUCCAAGGAGUGUUACUUAUGGCCUGAAAAGCCCCAUGGAGGACCAGGAGCUCCUUUGGAGGAUCAGGAACUGUGGGGAGAGCAAAAGAGAGACUCAAUUUGAAAAAGUAAUCCUUUGGAAAGCUAUAGUAUCUCAGUUUCUGCUCCAGACUAUCUUUGCUAUGGCACAUGCCCGACCUGGGAGCUGGUGAGCAAUGCCUCUCAGAUCUCGGGGCAAAGGUCAGUAGCUGCAUAGUGGCCUCUGGAUUCUUCAGAUACCGACCCUCAUCAUGUGGGGAGGCAUUAACCUUUGGCCCUGAAGUGAAAGCAACAUAGGCUUGGAGAUGAGGGUCCCAUAGUGGCCUGUCCCUGUUGGUGACUGCACUUCCAGCUCUACUGGGGAAGCUCUUCCUUUGAAGUACAUCUCACUUGGGCAGGAGCCAAUGUCACGAGGAGGAAACUAAUAGCUUGUAAAGAGAACCCCACAGGGUAUCAGAGGAAAUUUCUAGACCUGCUGGGAUCAGAAUUGGUGCAGAUCCACCUCAGUGGCUUUCCCCAGGCAGUCAGAAAGUCAAAGACAGGCUGCAACCAGGCCUGAAUGGACCCGUUCUUCUCAGCCAACCGCUAACACUUAAGGAUUUAUGAAAAAUUUCCUUGGCAUUAUGUGCUUGGUGGUAAGCUUGCUCUGAGGGAACGUGCUCGCAGAAGGACAACUCUUUGACAAAAUUAUCUUUGAGGCUGUGCCAAUAACAGCUAGAGGAACUCAGGUGCAGCUCCAAAAAGGCUGCUCCCCCCUUAUGAGGACCAUUGCAACAGGUAGACAUGGUAAUGUAGUGCUAAACUGCCUUCUCUUUCUCCCUAGUCUGAGAAAUGCAAAGUUUUCUCAAUGUAAAGAAACUAAUUACUUAUUUUUCAGGCUGUUAAACCAAAUGCAAUAUAUACAUCCCCCCCCAGUGUGCUCUGGCAUUGCUGCUGCUGCAAUCACAGCAGUAAAGGAUUUUGCUGCUGCUGUUGCCAUAUUUUUCUUGUGGCACGUUUUUAGACAAAGCUGUGUCUUGUUUUUGGAUUUUUUUUUAAUGCACUGGGAAACUUCUGCUCUCACUCCUUGGCCAGUUUACUUUGCCAAAUCCCCAAAUUAAUUUCUUUGAAUGUUUCUUUGUUAUUUCUCAGUAAGUCUUCUUUUUUUUUGUCCUUUCUCCUUCUCAUAUCAUGAGGUCUUUUUCCCCUCCUCAAACCAGUGACCAACAGAAAGACCUUGAGUAACAAUCUCUCACCCUUAACCAUCUAAUUUUUUCAGCUCAGACUUUUCUCCACCAUUCUGUCUUUUGUGUGCUGAAACCAGUUAUUACCUUGAUUACAGAGCAUCCCUUCAUGAUGAAAUAGCUCUGGUGCUGAGCAGGAGCACAGGCAAAGCUCAGACACCUACCCUUUCUUCAGACAAGUUUUCAUGCUCCUAUGCUUAGAGAUUGAUAAAAUUCCCCAUGUUAUGUACUGAAGUACUGAUGUACUGGUUUCCUUUUCCAUGGAUUCACAAUGAAAUGUGGUGGGUUUGUUCUGUUUUCUUUUUUAAAGUUCCUGCCCAGAUGUUUCCAAUUGAUUACCUUUUCUUUAAAUUUAACUUGUUUCUAUUUAAUUCUAUUUAAUUUACUUAACAUUUUUGCCAAGACUUGUACUACUAAGGUCUAAGAGGAGAAGGGCUGCGUGUGGAGGCAGUACUUUUUUCCCAAUGAGAUUCUUUCUGCCCCUGCUACACAAGUGUGAGUAGUUUUAACUGCCUUAUUUUUUUUUUUUUUUUUUUUUGAGUGAGGAGCAGGUAAGGUAGUUGUAAAAAAAACAGGAUCUGAGUUUUCCUUUUGCUGUGCUCUGACUUUUCCAAGGCUUGUGAAGUACUGAAGGGGUCUGCGAUGGGAAAAAUCAACAAAUGCCUCUUCCUUUGUAACAACAUGUUCUGCAAGGGUUGCCUUUCCAUUGUGAUAUCCCCUCUUUUGGCCUUGCUUUGCUCAUCUACACCAACUACCAUUACUUUGAGCUGCGCUGCAAAUAGCAAACCACUGAAGGAGAGGAGGGGCCCUCUUAUUUGGAAGAAAGCUUCCCUUUAGAUAUUCUUGGAGUGAGUUUGGAAUUAUCUUGUUGCUUUUGUGAAGGAUUUUGUCAUUUGCUACUUUGUGACAUGUGGCAAAUCAAUUUGAAUUUCCCAGCUCUCUGCAGCACAUCACUCUGUGUUCCACCUGUCUUGCCAGACAGAUUAGAUUUGCACUUGUAAAGUCUAAGCAAGCAAAGUAUUUGUACCAAUGAUGGAAAUAUUUUCUCCUUCCUCAUGACAUGACUGGGCAGAGUGUGUAUGAAGAGUGGGUGUGCUCAGGUACAGGCAAUGCGUGUGUAUCAGGACUGUGUUUACAAGUGAUGCUCAGAAGACCAGUCCCUGGGCUUGCACUCUGCUGCUGCUGCUGCAUCCCUGGCUGGUGCUGCCCGUCCCUUCUUCCGUGGAACAACAGUGCCAACUGCUGGCUGCCGAGCCUCCCCUGCCAGGAACCGGCUGUGCCUGCGGGUGGAACUGGUCCUCUAAGCUUAAUUUUAGGGUCACCACUACCUAAAACAAAGCAUCCCUUUGCUGAUGGUUUGGAUACUUCGCAGAAAUAUCUCGGUUUGGUGGUCCUUGUUUCCAUACCAAAAUAAUAUUCUACUGAGCUCAGGUGAGCCUGGGCCGGUUACCUUUCCUUGUGACAUUUCUCACAUUCAUUUCAAAACUAAUUGUUAAUGAUGUUUUAAAACUCUGUGUUUCUCCUCAUCUCCCAGGGCUGGCUGCUCAGAGGAAGGAGAAGGUUUCUGCUCUGAGCAGUGGAAGGGCCAUGAAAGGUGUUGUAUGCUCCCUGGAAGAUUUUAAUCGUGGAGUUGUGGUAGCAAUUUGCCAUCUACAAAUUUGAGAUACACAUACGUGUUAUAGCUACAAUGAACUCUGGGGAAUAUGAGAUGGUGGUUUAUGUAUUUCUGCACAGGAUACUACACAGUGGUUUUGUUCAGGGAAAAAAGGGAAAGAAAACAGUGAGGAUAAGGAAAAGAAGACAAUAUGCAGGUGUACAUGUAAGUGUCAUUUUGUUUGAAUUUCAGUGAAAUGCUUUAAUAGAAAAAGUAGUUUGUUUGGAUUGUUGUUUUUUGUUUUGUUUUGUUUGUUUGUUUGUUUUUUUCACUAAGAAGAAUAUCAAAUGGGAAAGACAGGUCUGUUUCUUUAAAUGUUUCCCGUGAAAAAGUGCUCACGUUAUUUUUUUUCUCUAUAAGGCUCUGUAUGUUCCCUGUCUCCUUUCCUUUCUGACCUGUGUUCUUAUUCUGGGAGGGUUACAGUGUUUGCAGGAGGUGGCAGUAGAGAGGACACAUGGAUGUGGAGUAGGAAAUGGGAAGGAAAAAAGUAUUAAAAAAAGAAAUUUAGAGAGCUUUGCAGAGAAAGGGGAAAGACGGUGAAUGGGUAAAGCAAUAAACCUGGGAGAGAUGAUCAGGGGAAGUUUGUAGAGAAAAAAAAGGGUAGGGACAGGAAAAGACAGGCAGCCAAACAAACUGAAAGUGAGUUUAAUGAGUCAGUGUUUCUGUGUGUUUCUGGCACCUCCCAAAGGGCCAUUUUUUACUUGCUCCCAGCCACAAAUGUUCUUCAUAAUUUUUGGAACAGAACACAAGAGGAAAACUAAUAAAUCAGCUAUUCUUAAACAUAUGUGACAAGCCCAGGCUGAGGUGCAGGUGAACCACAACCAUGUGAGGUCCCUUAAACUGAAGUUGGAGAACUUUGGCCACCACCGCAGGUUUAGCGCUGCUUCCAGCCCUCUGUUACUCUUUCACUCACGUGGUGUUGUGUUCCCCCUCCAGCCCCAAUGUCUUCAUAGGGAAAUCUAAAUGAGGCAGAAAGGAGAAAAAAAUAAAACUAACCCCCUCAAAAAAGAGCAGUAUUUUGAUGCUAACUUGAAAGACAGGAACAUCAAAACUCCUCCUGUGGACCUGAAACCUUAGGUUUUAGGGAGUUUGUUUUCAGGAGAAGCUUAUAAACCCUAUGAAAAAAGUAGCCCUCAGGCAGUCUGUCACUGUAGCCCCAACUGGGAGCCCCAAGCUGGCUCUGGGCGCCAUUGGGGACGGGAGGGCCACAACACUCAGCAGCGGAGAAAUUGUGUGCAAGCGCAGUUCUGCUUGUGUAGUGGGUUCCAUGCCAGUCAGGUGUUAUGCUAAAUGUCAGGAGUGGGAAACUGGAGCAAUUAGGGGACAAUCUCAGUCAGUUUUACAAGCCAUGCAACAAAAUAUUUCUUGUGAAAGAAAUUGACAUUCUGUGAAACUGAUUUCUUAAGUAUCAUAAAUCACAGGUUUUGGGUUAGAAAGGACUUUAAAGAUCAUCUAAUUCCAACACCCCUGCCAUGCGCAGAGACACCUUCCAGGAGACCAGGUUGCUUAGAGCCCCAUUCAGCAUAAACACUUCUAGGAAUGGGGCAUCUACAACUUCCCUGGGCAAUCUGUUCCAGUGCCUCACCACCCUCACGUCAAAGAAUUUCUUCCUUAUACCUAAUCUAAAACCACCCUCUUUCAGUAUGUACUGCUCUGUUUCUAAUGACAGUGUGUUGAAUUUUUAUUAGUGAUGUGAAUAAUUAAGCCGGAUGUCAUGCCAUUAUUUGUUAUUUCUUUUAAUUAAGCAAAAUGAAAAUUUUGCCAGGACACGUGGUUGCAAUUUUCAAGAGUCUUGUUCUAAUCACGCACUGAUUUAUUUUACUUUCGCACACACAGGCAUUCCUCCUACACUGUAUGUUUCUCCAAAUAAAGGGAGCAGGCUACAUGCUUUCCUAUCCAUGGCAGGCCUUUGUCACUGAGAUACCCAACCUCUUACUGAAAAUAUAUUUAUAUGUAUAAUAUAUUAUUGUAUUAUUAAGGAAACUUAAUGGUGGAGCAGAACUGAGCAUACUCACCGGAGAGAAAGCGCACAUAAAGGUAGGAUGAGAGGCUGGAGAAGGCAGAGAGCUGUUACUCCCUGUACCAGCCAUAGGUUUUUCCUGCGGUGGGGUGGGAUGCCAUGGGGACAGGUGAGGUGCCUGUGUCUGCUGUCCCUGCAUCCUGAGCAGUGGCAGUGGUGCUGGGAGCUGCAAUGCCGCUAGAUGUCCCUUGUCACCCGAGUGAGGUAGGCGGCUCAUCCCCACCCCUGAGCUUCAGGCAUAUACGAUGUAGUGUUAUAAAGAAGCCUGUGGUUUAAGUAUUAAAUAUCGAGAAAAGUUGUGUCUGUAUUAAAAAAAAAGUCUUGUGUCAGCCUGUGAGGUAACAUAGGUACCAAGGAAAAGGGUACUUCUUUAGCCACUUUAAUUUUUGGUGGAACACACUCCACCAUAGGGAGGAUUUCAUUUUGAAGGCUUAUUUACACCAGGGCAAUUCAAUAUUUCCUGGUGGAAAAGAAAUCAUGCUAGGAAAUGCUGAUUUGGUGAGCCUAACACCAUGAUUUCAGCUACCUUUCCCCUGCUGACACAGGCCUGUCUGGUGCAAGGUGGGGUCCUGGUAUCCUGCAUCAGCUGAGCUGGUGGGGGGGUUUGGGGGGAAAAGGACCUACAGGCUUUCCUUGCACCUGCUUAAUGAUUUUGCCAUUUUAGGCAUGUUUAUGUCGAAAAAGGCCAGAAAAAAGGUCACUUCUGUGAAGAACUCAGCCCCUCCACCUCACUGGUGCAGCUGUAGCCCCAAAGGCUCAAUGUGCCCCUACAGAGUGGGGAAAAGGCUGGUGGAAGAGGGAACAGCUGCUGAGGGAGGUGGACUGGUGUAGGUAUAUGGUAUGGAGCAGGCAGAGCUAAGGGCAAGAGGCUGCAAGCUCUUGGAGGCAGUGUCUAAAGGGGGCACAAGGAAACUUCCCAAACCUGCUUCCACCUGGCCUUCCAAAACCUUUCCUUAUGCUUCCCAGCACUUGUGUCACUCAGUGUGCACAGAUCCAUGUGGAGCCCAUGCUGCUCAGCCACAUGGUUUGUGUUUGCCUUGUGGCUUGAUCCUCUCUCCAGCCAGCUGUGCUGGUGCUGCCAUGCUAGUGGUGCUCUUGCCCCUCCAGACCAGUGUGACAGCUGGGUUUGAAGGGCAGCCUCCAACAGCAGGAGUGUGCCAGCCCCUCAGUAGUCCUGUAAGAGUUAAUGCCUCCCUGUGCCCAUGUUUUCACCACAGUGGAAGCUGUGUUUCCAUAUGUCCCUAGCUUCCAUAGCUGGCACCUUGGCGUGGGCAUCUGUGCCACUCCGCAUGGCUGUGCCCUUGCAAAGACUCACCUGAACUUGUGCUGGGCAAAUCCUCCCACUCCUGGUCUCCUACAGUGCCCCGUGUGCCCUCUGCACAUACCACGGCUGCACAGUGGGGUGUGCAUGCCCCUAAACUGCCCUGAAAGCAACGACAUGGCUCACCUGACCAGCCAAUGUCUCCCAUGUUAUGGACUUUUCUCCAAUGUAGGUAAUAACUGAUUGACUGUCACCUGUUUCUCAGAAUGAGCUGCUGUGGUGCGUGACUGCACAAACCAAGCUGUUGUGUAUUCAGAGUCAUGUCUGCCUGCCUGGAUUACAGAAAUGAAGCAUUUGCUGCUUGCUACUUCAUUUAAACCUGCGGGACCCCAUAGGGCGCAUCCUCCUCGUGCACCAAGGUGUCCAUGUGUGCCACUUGUCAAUCAGGGACUUCUUCACCAAGUAACAUCUGAGCAAAUCUCUUAAUAACAGAGGGACUACACACAGAUUAUUGUGAUCAUAAUUUCACCAACAUAGCCUUUAUUACUAAUGGUGAUAUUGGAGGUGGAAAACCCAGCUCGAUUCUCAGAUCCCUACUGGAAAGUAAUAAAAUAAAGAGGAACAAAAUCUGUGCUUGUACUUGCUACCAAACCUUUGAAAAACACAAAAGUGGAACCCUGCCAAUGCAAUUGCUGGCAAUUUUUCAGAAUGGAGCCUCAUUCUGAGGUAGGAUUAGAAGUGGAAGUGCAUUUUGUGUCUCUAACAUUAAUGUCAUGUUAUCGUGUACAAAUGGAGGGCUUACAGUCAUUUGGCAUUUACUGGUCUCUAUUUUAAUUAUUGUGUGCCAGUCUUAACACCUUCAGAGUAUUUUUGAACACCUUCUGAUAAUAGAAUAAUUAGAAAAUAACUUCAUCAAUCAUGAAAAAAAUGGUGCCUAUUUUGUUAAGGCGAACAACUGACAAAAGAAGUACUUCAGUAGAAGUGGUCUGAUAAAAAUGGAGCUGUGUUUCAUUUUGCUUUGUUGAGAACAUGGAUGAAGGCAGGCUGGCUUUUAUUUAGUCUUUUGUUCAUUCCUGGGCAAUGGCAGAAUUCGCAGCUAAAUUGUGGCGUCAGAAAAUUCUCGGAUGGUAGCUGAGAAUGAUAUAGUAUCAUGUAUUCUCACAGUAACAACAACAAAAAAUUCCUAACUCAUAGCUCAGAUUUUGAAUAUCAGAAUGAGCUUUCAGUACUAAGAAAUGAGCCUGCAGUACUAAGAAUACAGAAAAAAACUACUAAAAUUUUCCAAACCCAAGAAGAUUCACUUGAUAUAACCAGUAGCAAAAAAAGAAAAAACAAAAAAAACCAAAGAGGAAUGUAAAUGUAAUUUUAAAUUAUUUAUUUCAUUCUCUCUCUUUUUUCAUGUUAAUAUAUCCUUGGCUCCUAGUUCACAAUGACAUGCUAAUUACAAAUGUAAGAAAACCUAACUUUUUAUUGUGCUAAUUAACCUGUAUGUCACAUAGACAUUUGGGGAGAAUUUCCCAUGCUUUCUAGUGAGAAUGGAAGGAAAGAGCAGCGGUGCUCACUUAAAACUGAAUUUUUUUUCCUAGUACCUUGCAAAAAGGCAUCAUUGUAUUUUGAUUAAUCCAUGCUUGGUCCAUCUCGGAUGUUUCCAUGGAAACAGAAUUUUUUUCCUUGAUGGAAACUGUUAGGCUCAGGAAAGCUCCUCAUUGCACAAAACCAUCAAGCUCCUAAAGAACCACUUGUUGGAAAUUUAAUGUGCAUAAACAAAACUCCCAAAUUCCUCCUUAGUGUUAUUGUUGUCAAUGCUAAUAGAGAACUGUUUUCUUAAUGACACACAGUGGUGCCUUUUCACUCCACAAGAAAAUAGAAUAACAGUAGUAUUCUUUCCAUUGCAAGAGAGUACUUCUCCUGGUCCAGAGACAAUUAGCCUGCAAACCUUCCAAAAUUAAAUUUUAGGAGUUCUGAUGUGUGUAUAUUACUUAUUUCUGGAUCCAAAUAAUUUGGUUUAAUGGCUGUUAAAUUGUAAUUGAUUUUAUAAUGAAGAUUAUUCUUGUGUGCCUCAGUUUGGGUUAUGGAGUUUUGUUGGGGUUUUUGUUUCAUUUGGUUUUUGUUUGGUUUGGGUUUGGAUUUUUUCCUCCCAAAAAGUAUAUACUCUCUUAAUGGAUAUUACUGUGAUAUUCGGAAUACCAUUUGAAAAUCAACCAACAGAGGGAGCAUUUUUGUGUUAUUAUUAAUUUAACCAAGUAGUUGGAAACCUGACCAUCAUUUCUCCCAUUAUUUUUGGACAACAUGUUUAUUGCGUAAAAUUAGAGGAUUUCUUGACCAUUAAAAUGUCUUAGUUCAGAGUGUUUUAGUUUUAAAAAAGUCCAGUCUUAACUUCUGCUGACAAUGCAAGUAGCUAUUUUAAAUUGUUGGGUUUAUUGCUUGUAAAUCUAGAAGUUUUAGACCACAGAGUAUUUAUUACUUUGAUUAAUAGGUAAUUGCUGGUUAAAAAUACAUUGAGAAAAACAGCUCAAACUCCUCUAAUUUAUAUUUGCCUUUUAUUACAGUGGCAUUUAGGAGUACUACCCAGACUCCAAGAUCCAUCAUACAAGAGCCUAUAAAAACACAGAAUGUAAAUAGUUUUGUUACAGUAAUGCCCUGAUGCUAGUGCUUGUGUGAGGGCAGAGAGAGAAAAAAUCUAUUGACUUGUUCACUUUUUUUUUUUGUUUGUUUCAUCUUUGUUCAUCACGGUAGGGAAUCUGCCAAAUGGAAAAAGGAAAAUCACUUUGAGAGCUACCACAAUUUUUAAACUUCUUCAAGGCAUACCAAAACCAGCAAUUACAUAUCAACUAGAGGAAAAAAAAGCGGAAGACUAGGUAUUUCUUGGUACCUCUUUUAUGUGUUCACUAUUAGAAUGCGAAUAAUAAUAAUGAUGAUGAUGGUGAUACGUUCACUAUCAGAAUGUGGAUGAUGAUGAUGAUGAUGAUGAUGAUGAUAAUAAUAAUAAUAAUAAUGUUUUGCACCCUGUGUUCUAUCCUAAUCUUUGAUCUUAAGAUUUUGGGGUAUUGUUACUUUUAACUACUGUAACUGCACUCUAAAAUACUUCUCUAUUGUCAGCAUCAGAUGUAAAGCAAUUGCUGCUCUUUGCAGUGUCUCAACAGGUCGGAGUCAGGUACCCAACUGAGUGACAAGGGAGGCUAUGCAACGCUUUAGAACUAUUAAAUGAGUAGAAGACACCAGGACCUGGCUGCAGCAACCUAAGUGAGACUUGAUGAAGGUUCAGGGCUGAGCAUCCCUCUUGGCUGGGAAAUGUGACAAUGCCCAAAAUGGUCACGUAGUCAGGGUCUGGUGGUGACAUACCACAAGCUUGACUUUGCAGAACUGUGCUGCCCGAAGACCAGGAUUUCUUUGAGGACAGUGUUUCUCCUUUAUAGGUGGAGCUGCUUUAAUGAGUGUUCAUUUUGAACCUCAAGAGAAUCAUGCAUGAGAUACUUUGAGGUAGUAAGGUCUUCUAGUUACUGAGAUUUUUUUCCCUUGAUAUUGCUUUCCCUGCUGAUUAAAUUGGGAUGGAACUCUUUGGAUUGCUAUUUGUCUAACGCCCAAGAAUGGGCAACCCCAGGAACCUGCAGUGCCUAGGCCUCUUGGGAACAGGAAGACACAGUAUUAGCGGCAUUAACAGUGCCUUAAAAUUAAGUGUAGAACGGUACAGUCUGGAGCACUGCCAUGUGCAGGAGAGGGAGAACCCUAUUUAUACACCAGUAGGCUAUUCUGGGAGUGCUAACACUGAGAGUGAGCAGCUGUGAGAAAAACAGAGAAUAAGUGACAGUACACUCUGAAAUGGAAAUCACAGCAAAGCGCCAUAUGUGUUGACUGAGUAGUACCGCCAGCGCCCUCGUUUCGGUGCUCUGAAGUGAUAGCUUACAACUUGCUGGAUGAAUUUUCACAAAACUGCUGUUCCACACAGUAAUCUCCAGAACUGCAGCUGUUCUGACUUGUAUACAGCACAUGGGAUAACAGUGGUCGGCAAAAUUCAGUCUUGAACGCUGCUGGAAGACCAGGCAGGAACUGAA